GAACGAACGCUAGCGGUGUGGAUUAGGCAUGCAAGUCGAGCGUGAAAGCCUUCGGGUGAGUAAAGCGGCGAACGGGUGAGUAACACGUAACUAACCUGCCUCAAAGAUCGGGAUAAUCAUUGGAAACGAUGAAUAAUACCGAAUGGCCCUCCCGAGAGGCAUCUCUUGGGUGGUAAACGGUAGCUUCGGCUUCUGCUUUGAGAGGGGGUUGCGGACUAUUAGCUUGUUGGUGGGGUAACGGCCUACCAAGGCGAUGAUGGUUAGCGGGUCUGAGAGGAUGAUCCGUCACACUGGGACUGAGACACUGCCCAGACUCCUACGGGAGGCUGCAGUCGAGAAUCUUCCGCAAUGGGCGAAAGCCUGACGGAGCGACACCGCGUGUAGGAUGAAGGCCUUAGGGUUGUAAACUACUGUCACGCAUUAGGAAUGCUUUACCGUUAAUAGCGGUAAGGUUGACCAACGCGAGAGGAAGCACCGGCUAACUCCGUGCCAGCAGCCGCGGUAAUACGGAGGGUGCAAGCGUUGUUCGGAAUCACUGGGCAUAAAGAGCACGUAGGCGGUCUACUAAGUCAGAUGUGAAAUCCCUCGGCUCAACCGGGGAACUGCAUUUGAUACUGGUAGACUAGAGGACGGUAGGGGUGAGUGGAACUCCAGGUGGAGCGGUGAAAUGCGUAGAUAUCUGGAGGAACACCUGUGGCGAAAGCGGCUCACUGGACCGUCUCUGACGCUGAGGUGCGAAAGCUAGGGUAGCGAACGGGAUUAGAUACCCCGGUAGUCCUAGCCGUAAACGAUGGGCACUAGACAGGGGAAUGCCUAUGGUUUUCCCUGCCGUAGCUAAUGUGUUAAGUGCCCCGCCUGGGGAGUACGCUCGCAAGGGUAAAACUCAAAGGAAUUGACGGGGGCUCACACAAGCGGUGGAGCAUGUGGUUUAAUUCGAAGCAACGCGAAGAACCUUACCUAGCCUUGACAUGUAUAGAUUAGCUCUAUGAAAGUAGAGUGACAGCUCUUCGGAGUCGGAAUAUACACAGGUGUUGCAUGGCUGUCGUCAGCUCGUGUCGUGAGAUGUUGGGUUAAGUCCCGUAACGAGCGCAACCCUUAUUGUUAGUUGCCAGCGCGUAAUGGCGGGGACUCUAGCGAGACUGCCGGUGUCAAACCGGAGGAAGGUGGGGACGACGUCAAGUCAUCAUGGCCCUUAUGGCCAGGGCGACACACGUGCUACAAUGGCUUGUACAAAGGGAACCGAGACCGCGAGGUGGAGCAAUCCCACAAAGCAAGCCCCAGUUCGGAUUGCAGGCUGCAAUUCGCCUGCAUGAAGCCGGAAUCGCUAGUAAUCGCGUAUCAGCCAUGACGCGGUGAAUAUGUUCCUGAUCC
rnacentral:rRNA from 1 species